GCCCCGGUAGAUCAAUGCAGAUCAUUCCUUCUCCAUUGUAAUUGCAUACUCGACUGCUGACAAGUAGGAGGUUCGACUCCUCCCCGGGGCA